CAAUAUGAUACAAAUACAUCUUCUUGCAAUUUUCAAAUCAGAACCCAUUAUAAGGCUUCUAUAGGCGAUAAACUUCGGCCAACGACACCUCCUUUGCUAAAAAAAUUAUAUAGAAAGAAGAAACAUUAAGCUUUGCAUCAAAAGCUCAAUCUUUCCAUGGCUCAUAACUCCAAGUCCUCCACCUCCACCACCGCCAAGUACUCCACCACGACCACCACCACGACCACCACCACUACCACUAAGCUCACCACCACCCCCAACAAAAUAGACCAUGGCCAAAAGCAUAAAAAAAUUGUAACUUCUUCAUCAGCACCAAAAGCUCAAACCAGUCAAGGCACACACCACCACCACCAGGUUCACCAUCACCACCACCACCACCACCCUCACCAUCAUCAACAAACAUCAAAGCCAAAAGCUCCAGGAAAAGCCCUCACUCAACCAAAGCCUAAACUAGCCAUGGCACAUGCCACGGCUUCCAUCAAAUCCACCACCGCCAAGGCCACGAUCAAGUUGGGACAAGGAGUAGAUGUCAAAGUGGUAACCAAAGAAGCAGUAAUCAAAGGAGGAAAGAUAGCUCAUAUCAAAUAAUGGCAUGCAAGUUCUCAAUUUAUAAAGGAGUUGGAUGCCGCAGAUGUGAAGGAAUCUUUUGCAGAAUCUAUACUGGGAUUAUCAGAACUUGUAAUAUGUUAUGAGAUUAUGUUGAAUUUUUUUUUUUUUUUUUUUUUUUUGUUAUUGUUGUACUUGGCGAGCAAAAUUAUAGAAUUAUCUCAUUAUAUUAGCAGACGUUUGACGGAUCUUGUUGUAGAUUUGAUUUAGCAAGGCAGUUUUUCCGACUCCCCCUUUCCCAUACAGGCCAAUAAUCGUCACUUGAUCUUCUUCAUAACAUCUCCAAACUUCAUGAAUUUUUUUACUCUAAACCCAACGUUAGUUCAGAAGGUAUUUGAUCAUCCAUUGGAUCAUCCUUUCUCUGAUCAGCCACCUCCUUAAAUUCUCUACCUUUUUCCUUCAACUCACUCACAACUUCCAGCUUUUGAGCAACUCUCUUCCCGAACCUGAAGCUUGUAAACUUGUAGUUUUUGUAACAAAAGCCUCCAAGACAUAACCUCUAAACUUCAUCAGAGCUGUCUGUAAUCAGUUUAUCAACAUCGCUUUCUGUCUUUUCCACCCUCCUAAAGCAACCUUGCACUUUGUCCAGCCGUUCCCUUUGUGGUAGUUGUUCCUCUUUUUUAACUCUCCGAAACACAUCGUUCCUUGCAUCACUCAAUAUUUACAAUGCAGUAAGUAAGUUAGCCAUAGUGGAUAAGAUUUCUAAUAUACAGGAGAGGGAGUAGAGAGUGACGAGUUACAGGCAGUUGAAAGAUUCAAAGGAAGAAGCACUAGAAAGGAAGUAGAGAGGAAGAAUCAAUAGAGUGAUAGACAAAGCUUCUGAGGUCUUGAGAGGAAGCUUUGACAAAUUGGCAUGGUGGAGUGGGUCAGAUAGCUACUAUGAGAACUAAAGUUAAUUUGAGACUGUAAUUUAUCUUUUAAUCACUUAAAAGUUUAAAAAUAAUCAACUUUGAAUAA